GGCUUGGUAGCACUCGGUGUGCAUCUGCAUCCAAUUUAUCGUUGGCAUCCAAAUGUAUUUAAGCAGACAUUGCUCGUUCGACUCGAGUCCAAGCCA